CGAUGGUUGUUUGAACCGCACGGUUCAAACAUAAAAGGUGGCUUCGGCUACCACUUACAGAUGGACCCGCGGCGCACUAGCUAGUUGGUGAGGUAACGGCUCACAAGGCGACGAUGCGUAGCCCACCUGAGAGGGUGAUCGGCCACACUGGGACUGAGACACGGCCCUAACCCUACGGGAGGCAGCAGUAGGGAAUCUUCCGCAAUGGACGAAAGUCUGACAGAGCAACGCCCCGUGAGUGAUGAAGGUUUUCGGAUCGUAAAGCUCUGUUGUUAGGGAAGAACAAGUACCGUUCGAAUAGGGCGGUACCUUGACGGUACCUAACCAGAAACCACGGCUAACUACGUGCCAGCAGCCGCGGUAAUACGUAGGUGGCAAGCGUUGUCCGGAAUUAUUGGGCGUAAAGGGCCGCAGGCGGUUUCUUAAGUCUGAUGUGAAAGCCCCCGGCUCAACCGGGGAGGGUCAUUGGAAACUGGGGAACUUGAGUGCAGAAGAGGAGAGUGGAAUUCCACGUGUAGCGGUGAAAUGCGUAGAGAUGUGGAGGAACACCAGUGGCGAAAGCGACUCUCUGGUCUGUAACUGACGCUGAGGAGCGAAAGCGUGGGGAGCGAACAGGAUUAGAUACCCUGGUAGUCCACGCCGUAAACGAUGAGUGCUAAGUGUUAGGGGGUUUCCGCCCCUUAGUGCUGCAGCUAACGCAUUAAGCACCCGCCUGGGGAGUACGGUCGCAAGACUGAAACUCAAAGGAAUUGACGGGGGCCCGCACAAGCGGUGGAGCAUGUGGUUUAAUUCGAAGCAACACGAAGAACCUUACCAGGUCUUGACAUCCUCUGACAAUCCUAGAGAUAGGACGUCCCCUUCGGGGGCAGAGUGACAGGUGGUGCAUGGUUGUUGUCAGCUCGUGUCGUGAGAUGUUGGGUUAAGUCCCGCAACGAGCGCAACCCUUGAUUUUAGUUGCCAGCAUUCAGUUGGGCACUUUAAGGUGACUGCCGGUGACAAACCGGAGG
rnacentral:rRNA from 1 species